rnacentral:rRNA from 1 species
AUGAACGCUGGCGGCGUGCUUAACACAUGCAAGUCGAACGAAGAUGCCGGAGUGCUUGCACUUUGGCAGACUGAGUGGCGGACGGGUGAGUAACGCGUGGGUAACCUGCCUUAUACAGGGGGAUAACAGUUGGAAACGACUGCUAAUACCGCAUAAGCCCGCAGCUCGGCAUCGAGCAGAGGGAAAAGGAGCAAUCCGCUUUGAGAUGGCCUCGCGUCCGAUUAGCUAGUUGGUGAGGUAACGGCCCACCAAGGCGACGAUCAGUAGGGGUUCUGAGAGGAAGGUCCCCCACAUUGGAACUGAGACACGGUCCAAACUCCUACGGGAGGCAGCAGUGAGGAAUAUUGGUCAAUGGGCGAGAGCCUGAACCAGCCAAGUAGCGUGAAGGAUGAAGGUCCUACGGAUUGUAAACUUCUUUUAUACGGGAAUAAAGUAUCCUACGUGUAGGAUUUUGUAUGUACCGUAUGAAUAAGCAUCGGCUAACUCCGUG